rnacentral:tRNA from 1 species
GCGCCUGUAGCUCAGUCGGAUAGAGCACCUGCCUUCUAAGCAGGUUGUCGCUGGUUCGAUUCCAGCCAGGCGCAC